rnacentral:tRNA from 1 species
GCCUGGGUGGCUCAGUUGGUUAAGCGUCCGACUUUGGCUCAGGUCAUGACCUCGUGGUCCGUGAGCUCGAGCCCCACCUCGGGCU